UGUGAACUCGAAGAGUAGGGCGGGACACGUGGUAUCCUGUCUGAAUAUGGGGGGACCAUCCUCCAAGGCUAAAUACUCCUGACUGACCGAUAGUGAACCAGUACCGUGAGGGAAAGGCGAAAAGAACCCCGGCGAGGGGAGUGAAAAAGAACCUGAAACCGUGUACGUACAAGCAGUGGGAGCACCUUCGGGUGUGACUGCGUACCUUUUGUAUAAUGGGUCAGCGACUUAUAUUCUGUAGCAAGGUUAACCGUAUAGGGGAGCCGCAGGGAAACCGAGUCUUAACUGGGCGUUAAGUUGCAGGGUAUAGACCCGAAACCCGGUGAUCUAGCCAUGGGCAGGUUGAAGGUUGGGUAACACUAACUGGAGGACCGAACCGACUAAUGUUGAAAAAUUAGCGGAUGACUUGUGGCUGGGGGUGAAAGGCCAAUCAAACCGGGAGAUAGCUGGUUCUCCCCGAAAGCUAUUUAGGUAGCGCCUCGUGAAUUCAUCUUCGGGGGUAGAGCACUGUUUCGGCUAGGGGGUCAUCCCGACUUACCAACCCGAUGCAAACUACGAAUACCGAAGAAUGUUAUCACGGGAGACACACGGCGGGUGCUAACGUCCGUCGUGAAGAGGGAAACAACCCAGACCGCCAGCUAAGGUCCCAAAGUCAUGGUUAAGUGGGAAACGAUGUGGGAAGGCACAGACAGCCAGGAUGUUGGCUUAGAAGCAGCCAUCAUUUAAAGAAAGCGUAAUAGCUCACUGGUCGAGUCGGCCUGCGCGGAAGAUGUAACGGGGCUAAACCAUGCACCGAAGCUGCGGCAGCGACACUAUGUGUUGUUGGGUAGGGGAGCGUUCUGUAAGCCUGCGAAGGUG
rnacentral:rRNA from 2 species